rnacentral:sRNA from 1 species
ACAUUUUGCUCACUACGCCUCUGCUCUGAGGCUUCGUUAUACACUGUGGCCAGACGUUUCAAGGGUCAGUGUGGAGCCCCAGCCGGUCUUAUUUUUAAAGGAGAUACACCUGAAGUAAAACGUGUUCAAUAUUUAGGGCCCCAUGGGAGGUGGAGCUUCUAACAGACUCUGUAAAGUUAUAAGAUUCUAAGUAUUAUUAGUGACGCUUUUAACCAAAAUUGAUCAAACGAUGAUUUUUAUAAAUACCAGACUGACAGAACCAUAACAACUGCACCGCCACAAUGAAAACAUCGGUAGUUUACGUUAUGUUUCAGGCAUAUAAUUAUUAUUAAUAAUUAUUUGUUUUUAACAGUUAUGAUUCAUGUUUAGCUUUGCAACUACGGGAAGCGUCCAGCAAUUACGUAAAAUAGCCCUUGACCAAUAGAUCGUUAUUAAUUUAUCGUAGAGUACAGCAUGUGAAAAUGAGGUCAGAGUUCUUGACAGAGCAAUUAGUCGUUUCAAAUCUGAACCCUCGACACGGCUCAAAUAUUUGCGUUGUAAGUCUGUCCCUCUCUCUCUUUCUUUGUACAAGGCAAUUACUACCAAAUAAAAAAAAGAAAGAAAGAAAGAUAGAGAGAAAAGAGAGUAUAGGGAAACGGAGAGAGAGAGGAAGAGAGAGAGAGAGAAAUGCAGCACGUCUGGCCACCAGCUGUCAGUAGUGUGUAUUGACUGCUAGCGUCUAAAUAUAGCACUGCAGAAAAAGGGGGGAAAACUGCGUAACGGUUGCACGAGAAGCACACCAAUCCCUGCAGUGUUUUAGUAAGAUGUAGUGUGUUCAUUAAAAAAAAAAAGAAGAAGAAAAAAACUCUUGACGGACGCACACAUACACAUGAAAAAAAUAGACGGCUUGUUUCCCUUGACUGUGGUGUAAGACUCCAGUUCAUAGCCUAGCGUAUUAUUUCUUUAAAUAUGGAGUAUAUAAAUCUAAAAGAUAGUAUAUUAUUAUGAAUUAUAACGAUAUAUCAUUACUAUUGACAGAAAUGUGGUUAAUUUUUAUAUUAUUAUUAUAAUGUGACGCGUAUUUUUAGUUUGGUUUUAGAAUAGAUAAAAAAAAUCUGGCUAGUUUGUCGUCGUCUGUUGCGUAGAUAAAUAAAAAAGUUUAAAUGAAAAUGGUAGUGGAACAAAUCGUUUGUUCCUCCUUGUGAACGGAAUACUGAUAAAUAAAGUAAAAUAAUAAUACUAAUAAUGGCACAUUGAUAUGUACAUAGAUCUAAAAAAAAAAAGCAGUCUAUAUUUAAAAAAUCCUAGAUCCAUAUUUGAAAAUUGAAGUUUAAGGAAUAAAAUCCAAUACAUUUUGAAGUGGUGUUUUGGUAUUUCACGUGCAACGUGUGCUUGGUUUUAAAAACAUGGAUUAUAUUCCUGGAUAUAUAGACCAGAUACAAAUCCAUUGAGUCUACGUAUAAAUAAGCAGUUCUUUUCACAUUUUAUGUUAGUUACAAUUUCAAUAUUCAUCGCUCAACGUAAGCAUUGAUUAUACAGACUGAGUGAUGCAUUAUGUCUAUGUGGUUUAAAACUCCUAGCCAGAUUUUUGAGUAUAAAGACCAGAAACUGGGAAUAAUCACUGAACAUGGAAGGUAGG